rnacentral:rRNA from 1 species
GACGAACGCUGGCGGCGUGCCUAAUACAUGCAAGUAGAACGCUGAGGCGAGGAGCUUGCUCUUCUGAGGUUAGUUGCGAACGGGUGAGUAACGCGUAGGUAACCUGCCUUUUAGCGGGGGAUAACUAUUGGAAACGAUAGCUAAUACCGCAUAACAAUGUAUAACACAUGGCUUUUAUUUGAAAGGGGCAAUUGCUCCACUACAAGAUGGACCUGCGUUGUCUUAGCUAGUAGGUGAGGUAACGGCUUACCCAGGGGACCAUACAUAGCCGAACUGAGAGGGUGGUCGGCCAACCUGGGACUGGGACACGGCCCCGACCUCCUCGGGAGGGAGCCGGAGGGAAUCCUCGGGCAUGGGGGGAACGCUGAACGAGGCAAGCCGGGGGAGGGAAGAAGGUUCUCGGGUCGGAAAGCUCCGUUGUAAGGGAAGGAAGAGAGGUAUAGUGGACAGUUCACAUCGUGACGGUACCUUAUCAGAAAGGCACGGCUAACUACGUG